rnacentral:rRNA from 1 species
UUAGCUAGUGGGAGGAAUGGCUCACCAAGGCGACGAUCCGUAACUGGUCUGAGAGGAUGAUCAGUCACACUGGAACUGAGACACGGAAAAGACUCCUACGGGAGGCAGCAGUGGGGAAUAUUGGACAAUGGGCGAAAGCCUGAUCCAGCCAUGCCGCGUGUGUGAAGAAGGUCUUCGGAUUGUAAAGCACUUUAAGUUGGGAGGAAGGGCAGUAAGUUAAUACCUUGCUGUUUUGACGUUACCGACAGAAUAAGCACCGGCUAACUCUGUGCCAGCAGCCGCGGUAAUACAGAGGGUGCAAGCGUUAAUCGGAAUUACUGGGCGUAAAGCGCGCGUAGGUGGUUCGUUAAGUUGGAUGUGAAAGCCCCGGGCUCAACCUGGGAACUGCAUCCAAAACUGGCGAGCUAGAGUACGGUAGAGGGUGGUGGAAUUUCCUGUGUAGCGGUGAAAUGCGUAGAUAUAGGAAGGAACACCAGUG